ACCUGGCUGCCUCAGUUGGUGGAGCAUGUGACUCUUGAUCUCAGGAUUGUGAGUUCAAGCCCCAUGUUGGGUG
rnacentral:tRNA from 1 species